AGCAGUUAAACACUAGCAGCUCUCGACGGAAGUUCUCUAUCUGCAGCAUGGGCAGCAGCAGUGCAAGCUUUCACACUGUGCUCUGCCAACCUGUCUCAAUUCUGACAUGAAGAGGCCAACUUCAGGAGAGAAAGCAGGUAGAGAUGUGCCUGGUUGGCUGCA
rnacentral:sRNA from 1 species